AUCCAGCUGACGAGUCCCUAAUAGGACAAAAAGGGCAUCCUGGAU
rnacentral:hammerhead_ribozyme from 1 species